ensembl:lncRNA
GUAGGUUUGGGAGUGGGUUUAGGACGAGUAAUGGUAGGUUUUGUGAGUGUGUUGAGGUUGGGUAAAUGUAGGUUUGGGAGUGGGUUUAGGUUGGGUAAAUGCAGGUUUGGGAGUGGGUUUAGGUUGGGUAAGUGCAGGUUUGGGAGUGGGUUUAGGUUGGGUAAAUGCAGGUUUGGGAGUGGGUUUAGGGUGGGUAAGUGUAGGUUUGGGAGUGGGUUUAGGGUGGGUAAGUGUAGGUUUGGGAGUGGGUUUAGGGUGGGGUAAGUGUAGGUUUGGAAGUGGGUUUAGGUUGGGUAAGUGUAGGUUUGGGAGUGGGUUUAGGGUGAGUAAUGGUAGGGUUUGUGGGUGGGUUUAGGUUGGGUAAGUGUAGGUUUGGGAGUGGGUUUAGGGUGGGUAAGUGUAGGUUUGGAAGUGGGUUUAGGGUGUGUAAGUGUAGGUUUGGGAGUGGGUUUAGGGUGUGUAAGUGUAGGUUUUGUACGUGCGUUGCAGGGGUAAGGGUAGGUUGUCUUGGUGUGCAAGAGUAUGUUUUAUAGUAAUGCUGGGUUAUAAAAUGUGUGUUUAUAUAACUUCAAUUGCAUUCCAACUGUGUAAUUUGUCAUUUUCUCUUUCCUGUGAAAAACUGAAUAAACAAAACAUCAUUAAAAAACCCCCACAAAUAAUUCAGCAAAAGAACAUCAGGUUUAAGUGAAAUUGAUGAAAUUAAAGGUAAUGGAGAAAACCUUGAAUUUUAUUUAUUUAUUUUUAUACAUCUUUCCAG